ensembl:lncRNA
CACAUGUUUAGCAGAUGUUAUUGGUCACAUACACAUGUUUAGCAGAUGUUAUUGGUCACAUACACAUGUUUAGCAGAUGUUAUUGGUCACAUACACGUUUAGCAGAUGUUAUUGGUCACAUACACAUGUUUAGCAGAUGUUAUUGGUCACAUACACGUUUAGCAGAUGUUAUUGGUCACAUACACAUGUUUAGCAGAUGUUAUUGGUCACAUACACAUGUUUAGCAGAUGUUAUUGCGGGUGUAGCGAAAUGCUUGUGUUUCUAGCUCCAACAGUGCAGUAAUAUCUGACUAAAUGCGUAUGUUACUAGUGCCAACAGUGCAGUAACAUCUAACAAUUCACAACAAUACACACAUCUAAAAGUAAAAUUAUAGAAUUAAGAAAUAUAUACACAUUAGAUUGAGCAAUGUCAGAGUGGCAUUGAUUCAAAUACAGUAGAAUAGAAUACAGUAUAUACAUAUGAGAUGAGUAAAGCACUAUGUAAACAUUAUUUAAACCUUAGUAAAGUGACCAGUGAUUCCUUGUCUAUGUAUAUAGGGCAACAGCCACUAAGGUGCAGGGUUAUGUAACCGGCUAGUGAUGGCUAUUUAACAGUCUGAUGGCCUUGAGAUGGUCUUUCACUGUUCAGAAGGCUUUCUUUGUGGUAAAUGAGAAGCACAUUGCCAGAUAACAGACAAGGUCAUGCGGAAAGAGUUCCACCCACAUGCAGUUAUAUUUUAAUUCAAGGGUGGCUCUUCCUAGAGACCUAUACCCUCCUGCAGGGUUAUGUUCCAGUCCUACUCAGAACACACCUGAUUCUAUUAAUCAGCUCCUCCUCAGGAUAUUGGGUAUAGGGCUGGAGCCAAAGCCUGCACGCCCAGUAGCUCUCCAAUAUGACGGAUGGCCAACCCUGUUCUAAUUUCCCCUGUUUGUGUGAAUAAAUCAUAUGCUCUGUGCUGCAUCUCAAUCCACCACACCCCAUGUGCCGCACUACAGAUCCUGGAUCUGAUUCCAGGCUGUAUCACAGCGGUCUAAGGCACUGCAUCUCAGUGCUAGAGGUGUCACUACAGAUCCUGGAUCUGAUUCCAGGCUGUAUGACAGCGGUCUAAGGCACUGCAACUCAGUGCUAGAGGUGUCACUACAGAUCCUGGAUCUGAUUCCAGGCUGUAUCACAGCGGUCUAAGGCACUGCAUCUCAGUGCUAGAGGUGUCACUACAGAUCCUGGAUCUGAUUCCAGUCUGUAUCACAGCCGGCCGUGAUUGGGAGUCCCCAUUGGGCGCCGCGUCGUCCGGGUUAGUGUUUGGCCCGGGGGUAGGCCGUCAUCGUAAAUAAGAAUUUGUUCUUAACUGACUUGCGUAGUUAAAAGUUAAAUAAAUAAAAUAGAAAAUACAAAGGAUUGGAAAGGGAGGGAGUAAAUACUCCUAGACUCAUGUUACUGAUUUAGGACUGUCUAUCCGGAAAAUAUUGUAUUUGCUUGAGUAAUCUCCUACCUUGAGUGAUAUUCUUACUGACCCCCACUAAUGCAUGACCUAGACUAAAACAAGCUCGGACUAAACUAAGCCAACACUGAAAUAAAAUCAACAGAAAUAUGACGUUACUUUUACAAAGGUGCUGUAUAAUAUACAGUAUACAUUUAAAAUAAUUUGUUUUGUAUUUUGUUCAGAUCGUAUGAUUACAAAAGUAUGUAUACAAUUUUAAAUAAAUGAAAUAUUAAAG